rnacentral:rRNA from 1 species
AACGAACGCUGGCGGCAUGCCUAACACAUGCCAGUCGAACGAAGGCUUCGGCCUUAGUGGCGCACGGGUGCGUAACGCGUGGGAAUCUGCCCUUUGCUUCGGAAUAACAGUUAGAAAUGACUGCUAAUACCGGAUGAUGUCGCAAGACCAAAGAUUUAUCGGCAAAGGAUGAGCCCGCGUAGGAUUAGCUAGUUGGUGGGGUAAAGGCCUACCAAGGCGACGAUCCUUAGCUGGUCUGAGAGGAUGAUCAGCCACACUGGGACUGAGACACGGCCCAGACUCCUACGGGAGGCAGCAGUGGGGAAUAUUGGACAAUGGGCGAAAGCCUGAUCCAGCAAUGCCGCGUGAGUGAUGAAGGCCUUAGGGUUGUAAAGCUCUUUUACCCGGGAUGAUAAUGACAGUACCGGGAGAAUAAGCUCCGGCUAACUCCGUG